rnacentral:misc_RNA from 1 species
GCCAUAUAAUGUUGCAAGCUUAAAGCAGCAACUGUCUAGUGUCUAAUAUUCCAAGAUAUUGAAGAUCAUUUAGAUAACUGAACCAUGCUACAGAGAAUGUGAAUGUACUGAGGUUUUCAGCCCUUAUUAGCAAGGUCUAGACAUGCUAGGCCUCAUCAAACAUUAGACUUUCCAAGCACACGGUGCAAUCCAGCAGCUAAUGUAUACAACAAUAAGUCAAAACAGUUUUGAAGUUUUAACUAAAUUCGGCAGAAUCAUUUUAGCUCACAUCCACAUAGAGUUGGGGGCAAAGAAAAUGGAAUAUCUAUUUAUAAAUUCUUCCAACAUAUUCUGGACUGAACCAUUUUAAGAAGAACAAAAUUUACUAUUUCUAGAGGGGAUACCAUAACCAAAAAAAGAUUGACUAAGA